rnacentral:rRNA from 1 species
UACGUAGGCAGCGAGCGUUGUUCGGAGUUACUGGGCGUAAAGAGUGCGUAGGCGGUUUUCUAAGUUUGGUGUGAAAUCUCCCGGCUCAACUGGGAGGGUGCGCCGAAGACUGGAAGGCUUGAGUAUGGGAGAGGUAAGCGGAAUUCCUGGUGUAGCGGUGAAAUGCGUAGAUAUCAGGAGGAACACCUGCGGUGUAGACGGCUUACUGGACCAUAACUGACGCUGAGGCACGAAAAGCGUGGGUAGCAAACAGG